rnacentral:rRNA from 1 species
AACCUGCCCUUCAGAGGGGGACAACAGUUGGAAACGACUGCUAAUACCGCAUACGAUCUAACCUCGGCAUCGAGGAAAGAUGAAAGGUGGCCUCUAUGUAUAAGCUAUCACUGAAGGAGGGGAUUGCGUCUGAUUAGCUAGUUGGAGGGGUAACGGCCCACCAAGGCGAUGAUCAGUAGCCGGUCUGAGAGGAUGAACGGCCACAUUGGGACUGAGACACGGCCCAGACUCCUACGGGAGGCAGCAUG